rnacentral:rRNA from 1 species
AUGCACCAUACCGUGCUCCUCUUCGUCGCUACGGUCCUGGUGGUGGCCUCCUUCGCCGCCACGCCCAUUGCUAGCGCCUUCACUGUGGUCACCGCCGGGUGCACCGCGGCAACUCCCCUGGAGCGCCAGGACCGAGUACCAGGGCGGAUGCGCCCAGGGAAGACGUCCUGGGGUCGAGAUCGAGUACGAGGAUGA